GCCGGAGUGGCGGAAUUGGCAGACGCACCAGACUCAAAAUCUGGCGAGGGGUGACUCUCGUGGGGGUUCGACUCCCCCCUCCGGCACCA
rnacentral:tRNA from 1 species